CAGCGACAAACGGAUCAGAGAACGCAACAGGUUACACGGAUUUAAAAGAGAUCGCAAUACAAUUAAAGGCAGAGGAUGAGUUCUGGAAAAUCGCUGCAGAGCGCCACCCACCCCAACCAACAGCCACCAACCCCAAGCUUAGCAAAGAGAAAGAAGAUAAAAGAAAAGACAGACAUCAAAAGCCCAACAGACAGUCUCAUGUCUCCAUGCACCCGAAGACUCAU